UCAGUCGGUGUAUUAGGUGGGGUUGUAGCGUGGUGUUCCACUUUAGAGAUUGUCCUAGGAUUAACUCACGCGUUACAAAACAGCUGAUGCACCGGUGCACUCUUUGGCAGCCGGGUCAACAUCGGUUAAUGGCGCUCGACAAGUUACUAGACAAGGUAUCAUUGGCAAGUUCGCUUGCUUUUGAACUUAUAGGUCUGGUGUACGAGGGUGCUAUUGACCGAGGAUAGUCGAUUCGCGCGUUUCGGCGCAGGGCGUAUUGGUUGGGUCAAGGCUGCCCGUGGUGCUAAUCAGCAUGCUGAUUAGUAUUCAUUUUGCUAUACUUGUAUAGCAGUGGCGGUCGUCCAGCCAGUGCAAGCCACUAGCGAGUCAAUGACGGUUGACGAAAUGGUAUUCAACGACCCGUCUUGAAACACGGACCAAGGAGUCUAACAUGUCUGCGAGUGUUUGGAUGGAAAAUCCUUACGCGGAAUGAAAGUAAAGAGGCAAGUUUCGUACUUGCCCACUGGUAGGAAUCGAAGCGUUACGGCGCGACGAGGCACUACCGACCGACCUGUUGCCCUCUGUGGUGGUAGGUUUGAGUUGGAGCAGUCCUGUUAGGACCCGAAAGAUGGUGAACUAUGCCUGAGCAGGAUGAAGUCAGAGGAAACUCUGAUGGAGGUCCGUAGCGGUUCUGACGUGCAAAUCGAUCGUCGGACUUGGGUAUAGGGGCGAAAGACUA
rnacentral:rRNA from 1 species